rnacentral:rRNA from 1 species
GACGAACGCUGGCGGCGUGCCUAAUACAUGCAAGUUGAGCGCUGAAGGUUGGUACUUGUACCAACUGGAUGAGCAGCGAACGGGUGAGUAACGCGUGGGGAAUCUGCCUUUGAGCGGGGGACAACAUUUGGAAACGAAUGCUAAUACCGCAUAAAAACUUUAAACACAAGUUUUAAGUUUGAAAGAUGCAAUUGCAUCACUCAAAGAUGAUCCCGCGUUGUAUUAGCUAGUCGGUGAGGUAAAGGCUCACCAAGGCGAUGAUACAUAGCCGACCUGAGAGGGUGAUCGGCCACAUUGGGACUGAGACACGGCCCAAACUCCUACGGGAGGCAGCAGUAGGGAAUCUUCGGCAAUGGACGAAAGUCUGACCGAGCAACGCCGCGGGAGUGAAGAAGGUUGUCGGAUCGUAAAACUCUGUUGGUAGAGAAGAACGUUGGUGAGAGUGGAAAGCUCAUCAAGUGACGGUAACUACCCAGAAAGGGACGGCUAACUACGUG